GACGAACGCUGGCGGCGUGCUUAACACAUGCAAGUCGAACGGAAAGGCCCUGCUUUUGUGGGGUGCUCGAGUGGCGAACGGGUGAGUAACACGUGAGUAACCUGCCCUUUACUUUGGGAUAACGUCAUGAAACUGGGGCUAAUACCGGAUAGGAGCUCCUGCUUCAUGGUGGGGGUUGGAAAGUUUCGGCGGUUGGGGAUGGACUCGCGGCUUAUCAGCUUGUUGGUGGGGUAGUGGCUUACCAAGGCUUUGACGGGUAGCCGGCCUGAGAGGGUGACCGGCCACAUUGGGACUGAGAUACGGCCCAGACUCCUACGGGAGGCAGAAGUGGGGAAUAUUGCACAAUGGGCGGAAGCCUGAUGCAGCAACGCCGCGUGCGGGAUGACGGCCUUCGGGUUGUAAACCGCUUUCGCCUGUGACGAAGCGUGAGUGACGGUAAUGGGUAAAGAAGCACCGGCUAACUACGUG
rnacentral:rRNA from 1 species